UGGCGGCGGCUUGGCUGCCUCCUUCCUCCGCUGUGUGCUCCUGUGCUUCAACCACCACGGAGCAUCACUUCUAGAGGCCUAGAGUGUGAUAUUUGACAUCUGUCAAGUUGAAGGUCCUGCACAAGAGUGGAAGUUAUUUUACCAAAAAUCAAGUGUUACAGAAAUAAUUGAUUUCCAAGUGCAUGGUCAUGUUUAUGAAGUCUUGAGAAGACCAUUUUCAUUAAUUUCUGUUCCAGAAGGCAGCUGUACAUAUUUAAGUUUUAAAAAAAAAAAAAGUGUGAAGAAAACAGACAGGAAGAAGCAAAACCAGUUAAAGUAGAAGAGAUUAAGUGGGUAUGACAGAAGAACAACUUUAUACUGUUGACUACUCAACAUCAGGUUUGAUGAGAGCAGGGUGAUUGCUGUGCUCGUGUUCUAGCAGAAGGAGUUUUGGAGACUUGCGUCCUUUCUCGAAGAGAAACUGUGCUGUUUUGCCAGCCUUGAAGCUGAUAAAUACGUUAACAAGUGAACUAAUGCAAGGCCUUGAACCACAGUGAAGGUGCAACUGUAUCGGCUACCACCAUCCUCAGCAGUUUGUGAAGUUGAUAAGCCUCCUACAAAAGACUGAAGAGAAUCACGUG